AUUAUGGAUUAGCGCCUGCAUAACAGACCACCAGGGAAUUCCGCUCUCACCUCAUUGGGGUCCUGGUGGGCGAAUAAGCACCAAGCCCUCCGCUUGGAUCGACCAUCGUGCGCGUCCCUUGCUCGCGUCGAGAGAUUUCCAACGCCGAGCUAGCGCACAGGGAAGGGAGAGAAAAGUGAGUGCCACCGCGGGGACGAGGGAAACUCGACUCACCACCUAUCGCUCCUUGGAGUUGUGUCCUGGGGAUUCUCCGGGCUUGGAGGAGGAAGGUUGAAGCAGCUCUUCCGGGGAUUCGUGUUCAACGUUGUGGGAAUUCCUCGCCACCAGGAACUACCCUGCCGUGGACCGCGGGUCCGCGUGGCCAAGACUGUCCUCGCUGCUAGCCUUGACGAGCAAGCCACACAUGAUCGAGUGCUUCAGUAGGUGGAGACUGCUGAGCAGGAGCUCAUUGAAGCCCCCCACAGGAGAAGAACAUGUGGUUCAAGAGGAGCCACACAAUGAGGAGUUCCACUUGAUCUAGGUGUCGUUUCCCAGUUGACUUUAUGGCGCCAAGGAUGGACAUUUGUUCGUUUUAUAUUAUUAUUUUGUAAGACUUCCGCUAUGUAAUAAGUACUCUGAUUAUAUUGUGACAUUUAUCUCUAUACACUCUGUUAUUGUA